GCGAACGCCGUGCAGCUACCUCGAUACUCCCAGAGGCUGGAUCUGCUGAUCAACUGGAUCUACUAAGCCUGAGACUGCCCUGGAUCUGCACACAUGUGCAGGGAGUAAAGUGAGUACUCCGACCCAGUGAGUAAUAAAAGUAACUACAGUCUGAAGAUAAGAAAAUCCAGUAAAUACACAAAGUAAGCUAAAAUCUAAAUAUACAGCAACAUAUGGAACUGAGUAGCUAAACACCAGUAUAAAUACAAAUACAUGAAUGCAAUUCAAUGCAUAUGAUGGUACAUUCCAGUACCCACUGUGGCGUGCAGCCCGAGCCAUCCAUAUUUAUUUAUCGUCGACGGCGCUCACUGGGAGUGUGUACAGACUCCGGAGGGGCUCCUACAGCCCAAGCGCAAUAUCUUGGUCAGUCAUUGUUACCUGACCGGUCAGCCAUUGUUACCAAUGUUCAAGUAUAUCAUCCAAUGUCAUUGUUACCAAUAUUUCAAGUAUAUCACACAGUGUCAUUGUUACCACUGUGUCAAGUAUAUCACCCAGUGUCAUUGUUACCACUGUUUCAAGUCACUUUAUAAUCAGUCCAGAAAAUAAUAUAAUAAGCCCCUUGGGCAUUUACAAAACAGAAGUUCCCAACCCAGAAUACAUUUAAAAAUAUCAUUUAAGUUUUCAAUACUUAGAAUUAUGGCUGAGUUUGCAAAACAACAUUUAAAACCUUUGACUGAAAUUAAAUGAUAUGCAAAUCAUGCUAAGCAGUAAUAUCAAUCCUCGAAGGAUUUUACAAAUCGGCACAAGGCCCCAAACAUGGCGUCAAGCCCAGUAAUAUCAAUGAAGUAUGUGUAUCAAUCACCAGUAUAGUAUAAACAUUACACGGGGUGGACCAAGUCACAAUCCCCAGUAGUAUCCGAUCCCGCACUCGCCAUGGAGUGCGUGUCACGCCUCAAUAUAGCGUUACAAUGUGAAAGUCCGGGGUUUCAAACCCUCAUAAUAGCAUUUACAUCUAUUACUCACCUCUAACCGGCCUAGACUAGUCCGCAAUGCCCUUUCCUCUUGAAUCGACCUCUUCGCGCGUCGAAUCUAGUCAAAACCACAACGAAUACAUUACAAUAGGCUAAGGGAAUAUAACCCAAUCGAAAAGACUUGAAAAAUGUCGAAAAUCCCGAAAUUAGCAAAAUCCGAGCCCCGGGCCCACGUCUCGAAAUUUAGAAAUUUUUACAUCAAUACAACCCUUAUCUCGCCAGGAGUCUAUACAUACCAAAUUCACAAAAAUCAGAGUUCAUUUGACCCCUCAAAUCACCAUUUAAUUCUCUUAAGUUUCAAGCCCUAAACCACCAUUUUUGUCCAUAAAUUACUUGAGUUUUCAGCUCUAAUCCAUUUAUUUAACUUGGAAUAAGUAGAAACAACUCACCUUUGAUGCUUGAUGAAAUACCCCUUGAAAUUCUCUCCAAAAUAAUCCAAG
rnacentral:lncRNA from 1 species